AUCCGGCUGACGAGUCUCAAAUAGGACGAAACACGCGUCCUGGAU
rnacentral:hammerhead_ribozyme from 1 species